rnacentral:rRNA from 1 species
AUCCCAGGGCUCAACCCUGGCUCGCUUUGGAUACUGGUAAACUAGAGUUAGAUAGAGGUAAGCGGAAUUCCAUGUGGAGCGGUGAAAUGCGUAGAUAUAUGGAAGAACACCAAAGGCGAAGGCAGCUUACUGGGUCUAUACUGACGCUGAGGGACGAAAGCGUGGGGAGCAAACAGGAUUAGAUACCCUGGUAGUCCACGCUGUAAACGAUGAUCAUUAGUCGGUGGAAAACUACUGACGCAGCU